UAGGGAAUCUUCCACAAUGGGCGCAAGCCUGAUGGAGCAACACCGCGUGAGUGAAGAAGGGUUUCGGCUCGUAAAACUCUGUUGUUAAAGAAGAACGUAUCUAAGAGUAACUGCUUAGGUAGUGACGGUAUUUAACCAGAAAGCCACGGCUAACUACGUG
rnacentral:rRNA from 2 species